GAGCAGUGAUGUGAAAUGAUUCAUUCCUGUAGUUAAAGAAGCUUCACUGGUUCAUCAUUUAGAACCACAGAAGGUUUAGAAACAGGCGUGUUUUGGGGUCAAAGUGCAAAAUACAGGAAGUUGUUCUAAUAGAGAUGGAGUUCAGAUGGUCAGAGAAUGACAACACUGCAUGUGUUCCAGCCUUUGUACUGUAUCUGGAUGGACGGUGGUCCCAGCGCUUCUUGGCCAACAUAGACAAGCUUUCCUGACCCUCUUCUGGGGCUUGAUGCUGUUGGACAGUCAGGAAGUGUGAUCUGAGUGAGGACGGCUGAUGAAGGAGGAGGAAGACUGGACAGGAGGUUUGAGGGGUCAAAGUGCCCUGAUGUGAUUCAGAUGAACUGGCAGUGCUGGGAUGCUGGCAGAGAAACUGAGAAUCAUUUCACUUGAACUGUUUCCUUCUAACUGCAGUCGGUCUCUAAAUGUUCCGAGACAGACCACACACAGGAGGAAGACGUCUUGAAGCCGAGGUCCUCUCAUAUUUUGAUCCUCACAGCAGAGAUGUUUCUUUGAAAUGCAGUAA